rnacentral:lncRNA from 1 species
AAAAAACUAAAAUUAUAAUUGUUUUAGAACGAAAACCACCAUUAUUACUAGUAAUUUUAUUAAUUAAAAAGCUAGAAAUUAUAUAAUUUUAUUGAUAUGCCAACAAUAACAUGGUGAAUUACAUGUUAUUAUUUUCACUCUCAAUUUUUACAACAUGAGAUGCAUAGAAAUGGGAACUGUGCCGAGCAAGUGCAACAUUUGAAUUUUUUGCAAAGUCCAAAACCGCAACCUGAAAUUGUCAAAAACAUAUAUAAAAACAUUAAGAAAAAUUUCGUCAAAAAGGUCGAUUUCUAUUAAAAUAAAAUUAUUACUUAUUUAGCAACAUGACGAAAAAUAUAACAAAAAAAUAUAAGAAAUUUCUUACUUGCAACAGAUACACGAGUGCUUCGACUCGCACCAGACAACUCUAGAGUUAUUGGUGAUGGUGUUUUUGGUGUUGCUAAAGUUAAUGGAGAAAAAAGUACAAACAAGACAAUGAUCAUACAACCCGUCACAUUAGCUGAUUUUGUCAUCUUAAUCAACUAUUUUUGUUGUGCUUGUAGGUAUUUUGUUUUUCUUAGUUG